CGGUGAAUACGUUCCCGGACCUUGUACACACCGCCCGUCAAGCCAUGGAAGCUGGGUGUACCUAAAGUCGAUAACCGCAAGGAGUCGCCUAGGGUAAAACUAGUAACUGGGGCU
rnacentral:rRNA from 1 species